rnacentral:rRNA from 1 species
UAGUACGGCGAGUGAGUGGGAAAAGCUCAACUUUAAAAUCUGGCAGCUUCGCUGUCCGAGUUGUAGUCUCGAGAAGUGUUUUCCGCGCUGGAUCGUGUAUGAGUCUGUUGGAAUACAGCGUCACAGAGGGUGAGAACCCCGUUCAUGACACGACUACCAGUGCUUUGUGAUACACUUUCGAUGAGUCGAGUUGUUUGGGAAUGCAGCUCAAAAUGGGUGGUAAAUUCCAUCUAAAGCUAAAUAUUGGCGAGAGACCGAUAGCAAACAAGUACCGUGAGGGAAAGAUGAAAAGCACUUUGGAAAGAGAGUUAACAGUACGUGAAAUUGUCGAAAGGGAAACGCUUGAAGUCAGACGUGCGCGGUGCGAUUCAGCCUUGGUUCGCCAGGGUGUACUUCGUACCAUUGCAGGCCAGCAUCGGUUUUGUGAGCCGGAUAAAGGUUAGAGGAAGGUAGCGGUCCAGGCCGUGUUAUAGCCUCUAACUGAAUACGGAUUGUGAGACCGAGGGACGCAGCGCGCCGCAAGGCAAAGGGUCCGCCCUUUUCGCGCUUAGGAUGCUGGUGAAAUGGCUUUAAACGACCCGUCUUGAACACGGACCAAAA